UUGUUUUUAGCUCACCUGUCCCGAAGGGACAAGUGAGCUUAUGCCAUCACUUGGCGUCCGUCGUCGUCCGUCGUCUGUCGUCUGUCGUCGUCUGUCGUCUGUCGUCGUAAACUAUUUCAAGAAUCUUCUCCUCUGAAACUACUGGGCCAAAUACUUCAAACUUUAACUGAAUGUUCCUUAGGGUAUCUAAUUUAAAAAUUGUAUCCGAAGUUUUGAUCUAUCAACAAACAUGGUCGCCAUUGCUAAAAAUAGAACAUAGGGGUAAAAUGCAGUUUUGGCUUAUAACUCAAAAACCAAAGCAUUUAGAGCAAAUCUGACAUAGGGUAAAUAUUGUUUAUCAGGUCAAGAUCUAUCUGCCCUGAAAUUUUCAGAUGAAUCAGAC
rnacentral:lncRNA from 1 species